CUGAAUUGUUGAUUCACAAGGCUAUAUUUAUUAUAAUUUUUUCACAGCCCUUUAGGGUUUUUAUUUAUAAGCAAGGAUCAAGAAUAAUGAAAUAAAAACAACAAAAAUCACCAUGGCUAAACAUUUAAUUCAUGGUGUUUAUCAUACACUAUAUCCAACAGAGACAAAUAGUUAGAACAGAAAUUGGACAAUUAAGAAUUGUAUUAAUUAGUACAUUAAUUAUGAGAAAAUAUGAAUUCAAUGCAUCCCCACUUUGAAUUGAGAUCUUGCUGACACAACUUGCUGCUUACAUGAACAUUGAUCUUGCUGGAUCAAACAGCAUCAUCAGUGCAUGCAUGGAGGCAGAGAGAGAGAGAGAGAGAGAGAGAGAGAGAGAGCUUCAUUGAUUUAGAACAUGUAGAGAUCAGCUAAUUCUUCCAAAGAAUCAAAACUAGCAUUUGGAUCAGCAUUUUCAAGCAUCCAUAAAAGGUGGUCAAAAAAGACCACCUCACAUUUCACCACCAAAAUAUUAUCCUCUCCUGGUUUUUGCCUUGACUUCUCAAUGAGAGCGUUCACCAGAGGAUGGCUCAGAUACUUGGAGCUAAUGACAUACCUCUUUCUUGUGCUUCCAACAAAUAUUGUUUCAUGAUUUUCAUUUUCUUGCUUGUGAUCACCCCAUAAAUCUUCCCUGGUUGACUUAGACCUUAGGCUACUAUAAGAUGAAGAUCUCCCUAGUUGCCUUGACAAACUCUUGCAUUUCCUUAGUAUCAAGUUGAUCUUCUUCAUUAUAUUUUGUGAGACCAAAAGGAACAGAAGGACAAGUUUAGAAGUUAAUACUGCAUAAAAAUAUGAAUGCGGCAUGCAUAUAUAGGAGACUUGCUAUACACUCACAGAAGGUAUAACAGCAAUUGGGGUGGCUAGAUGAGCCAUGGUGGGUGCUAUGUCAUUGUUUACAUCUGCUGGCAAUGUGGGGCAUGUUGAGC
rnacentral:lncRNA from 1 species